AGGUCCCAGAGAUAAGGGUGGAGAAGGGGCUGGGGCUGGCCCAGGGAAGUAGACUAUGGGGUUGGAGGGGAUGCAGCACUUAAUACCAUCUUUUGGGUCCCUGGGCUGGGAUGCAGAGUAGUGGGUGGCCUGGGCCCCCUCCCCCACUCUUGCCAUUGAGGAAGUGGCUGAACUGUGGACUGCUGUUCCCCCUGGAAGGGGCAAAAACAGAGUGUGACAUGGACACAGCCUGAGGGCUGUGUCCUGAAGAGGAUGCUGUAUCCAUGCUUCCUGGAACAGAGGUGACAGUGGGUGAGAGUGCCAGCAGAGGGUGCAGUGCUAAUUCCCCGGACAGCCAGCAGGAGGCACUGCAGUGGUGAGUAGUGCCUUAUCACACAGGUGGAGGGGAUGAAAACCUGGCAAGUCUGGAGCAAGAGGGAAGCACUGCCUCUGCAACAUAGUUUCCUUUUCACCCUAGCCCUCUGGAAGCUCCCCUGCCAGUUCAUGGAAGGCAUCAAGCCAGUGUGGAGCUGGAAAUGGCUGACCUCUGCAGCAGCUCCAUCCCCUCCCCAAAGCCCUGUGGCACCUGAGCUGAGAGCUGCCUGUGGGUACAUCUACACUAAUGACUGUUCACAUGUCCAUGCAUGGGUUUUCUGCCAUAAUCCCCCUAUUGGUCACAGUUGAGCCCCAGAAGCACAUGCCUGAAGUCCAGGUCCCUGUCCCCCUGCACACUGGUAGAAGCACUGCUGCACUGACUGACCACAGCAGAGCAGCGUUGUGCUGCACCUCCAUACCGGUGGAAAUGGAUCCACCACUGAGAGCAGCUUUUUUGUCCAUUGGGACUAACUGGAUGCUGGUGUGUGUGUGUGGGGGGGGGGGGGGGGAGUGCACCAUCCUCAGACAUUCAGCUGGAGCAGCAGGAACGUUCACCUUUACCCAGAAGUUUCAUGGAGGCUGGAGCUGGCGAGCGUUGAGCAGGCUCUGUCCCAGUGCUGGGAAUGCAUGAAGUACUCAAGGCUCCCAUACAGGAAAGCCAAAGUCUCCAACAGUCAGUCCUGAAGGGCUCAUUGUAUAAUGUCCCUUCUAUGAAGAGCUGGACUGGGUGCUGUCAAGAGCCCCUCGUACUGAGCCUGAAGGGGCUCGCAGUCCCCUCCUCUGCCCCACCUACCUCAUUCUCCACAAGGACAUUGAGGGCCAGGGUGAGGAGGAAGUAGGGUCUGUGGGAUGCGCCAGAAGACUUGGAGCAUGUGGUUCCGUGCCAGUACCCAGAGGGCCAGCUUGAAGAAGCCUCCUGUGAUGCAACUGUGGAGGCCCUUGAGCUGUGUCAGGAGCCAGAAUGUCUACAUUACAAUGGACCUCCACCCACUCCACUGAUGCACCCUCCUGCUCUAGUGCUACAUUCCUGAUCUUAGUAUCAAGAGCAUCUGAAGUCCUGUGCCAACUUUUUCCUCCUUGGACGAUACGCCAUGCAUUGCUACGCCUCUGGGUCUUUGCUGCGACUUCAGCACUGCAGUUCAUUGUCAUGCCUCAUCCCCCCCCCCCCCACUGAACUCCUCCAACAUUCCUCCCACCCCCAUCUAGCCCCAACUCAGCUCCACCUCAAGCCAGACAGAGUUCUAAAUUAAUGAUUUUUUUUUGAUGACCCAGAAGUAUGCAGUUGGCUUCUCAAGCUAUUUUUUCAAACACUUUAUAAAGGAAAAAAUCAGCAUGCCCCAGUAUCUGUUUAAUUCUCAGCCAGCAGUCAUGCAGCCAUGGUUCUGGACCUGUGUGGAAAGGUCCCGGUUGGGGAAGGGUAUAGAAAACUUGACAGUUGGUUGGCUAAGGAAAAGUUAGUCACAGCAGUCUUUACAGCCUCUGUCCCUGGUAUCUGUCCUUUCCCGGCACAGAGCCAUGCUGCACAAGCUUACCAUUAUUAGCCUCUGCUUCUUUCUUGCGGGCUGCAAAAUUUGUCUGAGAGCAGCAAAGGCAAUGACAGGUACAUUCCUAGAACGCUGAAAAGUAUCAAAAUUGUGGCCUUCUACAGCAAACUUGCGUUAUGCGAGGGGGAUUUCUCAGCUUGUUCCAAUGGCCAGAAAUAUAGUGCUACUCUUCUCUUUGAAUUGGCAAGACCUUUGACUUCCAAGAGCAAAUCAUUCCACCAGGUAGGAGCAACACCCCAGAGACAGCAGAGGUAGGUGGAGAAAGACCAUGGAGGAGCUGCUCAUAGGGAUGGACAGGAGAAACCAGGAGCAAUUUGAAUUCCUCAGGGCAUAAGAGGAUCCGGCUCGUCAGCUGAAGGAGACUCUUAUCACCAGUUCAGAGAAUGGGAGCACUCCCUAAUGGAGAGGCUCCUCGAACUCGUGGCCAAAAAGAGUAUGGUGUCUGCUUGCUGCUGACACCCCAGAACCAGCCCGUCAGAUGCCGCCUCCUCUUCUUCCUCUGGUUGUCACCCAGGGUGCUGCCAAGCCAGAGGAUCCUGUCACAGUGACUCCCCGCAGCUGACCAGGAGGAGUCCUGGAACACCACAUACCAGCCCUGGAAAUCUGUCUCCAGAGAUGUCCCCAGUUCUCAUUCGCCGUCACUGUCCCCUGUUGCUCACCCCUUCUGAUAAGGAGGUAGCUUAAUGUCUUUAUGCCCAUGGGCAACGUUCUCACUUGCGAGUGGUUACUUUAGUAACAAUAUAGUGUAGUUCUGAUUUCAAAAUCUUCUAACACAUACUUUUCAUAAUUAUGCUCUGCUGACUGUGUGCUAGUCCUCCUUCCUAAUGAUGAACUGAAGG